AACGAACGCUGGCGGCAUGCCUAACACAUGCAAGACGAGCGCCCGUAGCAAUACGGGAGCGGCGCACGGGUGAGUAACGCGUGGGAACCUGCCCAGAGGUCUGGGACAACCGCGGGAAACUGCGGCUGAUACCGGAUGAUUCCUGAGGGACAAAGAUUUAUCGCCUUUGGAGGGGCCCGCGUCGGAUUAGGUAGUUGGUGGGGUAACGGCUCACCAAGCCUAUGAUCCGUAACUGGUCUGAGAGGAUGACCAGUCACACUGGGACUGAGACACGGCCCAGACUCCUACGGGAGGCAGCAGUGGGGAGGUAUUGGACAAUGGGGGGCGAACCCUGAUCCAGCAAUGCCGCGUGGGUGAUGAAGGCCUCGGUUGUAAGCCUUC
rnacentral:rRNA from 1 species